GGGCCCGCACAAGCGGUGGAGUAUGUGGUUUAAUUCGAUGCAACGCGAAGAACCUUACCAGGGUUUGACAUCCUGCGAAUCUCUUGGAAACAGGAGAGUGCCUUCGGGAACGCAGUGACAGGUGGUGCAUGGCUGUCGUCAGCUCGUGUCGUGAGAUGUUGGGUUAAGUCCCGCAACGAGCGCAACCCACGUCUUUAGUUGCCAGCAUUUAGUUGGGCACUCUAGAGAGACUGCCGGUGAUAAACCGGAGGAAGGUGUGGAUGACGUCAAGUCAUCAUGCCCCUUACAUCCUGGGCCACACACGUGCUACAAUGGUCAGUACAGAAAGCAGCCACUAUGCGAAUAGGAGCUAA
rnacentral:rRNA from 1 species